AUGGACCACGCGGGAGAGCCCCGGCGAACGCAGCCGGGCACCGAAGGAGCAAGCCUCCCCGCCAAUCUCUCAGGUACGCGUACCGCGCGGUUCCG
rfam:Microbacterium sp. GCS4 scf_44864_1.contig_1, whole genome shotgun sequence.